GCUGGGUGCGGUGGUGCAUGCCUGUAAUUCCAGUGGCUUGGGAGGCUGAGGCAGGAGGAUCAUGAGUUUAAAGGCAGCCUCAGCAACUUAGCGAGGCCCUAAGCAAUUCAGUGAGAUCCUGUUUCUA
rnacentral:sRNA from 1 species